UGGGGAUAUUGCACAAUGGGCGAAAGCCUGAUGCAGCGACGCCGCGUGAGGGAAGACGGUUUUCGGAUUGUAAACCUCUGUCUUCGGGGACGAAAAUGACGGUACCCGAGGAGGAAGCCACGGCUAACUACGUGCCAGCAGCCGCGGUAAUACGUAGGGGGCGAGCGUUGUCCGGAAUUACUGGACGUAAAGGGUGCGUAGGCGGUUUGGUAAGUUGGAUGUGAAAUACCCGGGCUUAACUUGGGGGCUGCAUCCAAUACUGUCGGACUUGAGUGCAGGAGAGGAAAGCGGAAUUCCUAGUGUAGCGGUGAAAUGCGUAGAUAUUAGGAGGAACACCGGUGGCGAAGGCGGCUUUCUGGACUGUAACUGACGCUGAGGCACGAAAGCGUGGGGA
rnacentral:rRNA from 1 species